rnacentral:rRNA from 1 species
GAUGAACGCUGGCGGCGUGCCUAAUACAUGCAAGUCGAGCGAACAGAUGAGGAGCUUGCUCCUCUGACGUUAGCGGCGGACGGGUGAGUAACACGUGGAUAACCUACCUAUAAGACUGGGAUAACUUCGGGAAACCGGAGCUAAUACCGGAUAAUAUAUUGAACCGCAUGGUUCAAUAGUGAAAUACGGUUUUGCUGUCACUUAUAGAUGGAUCCGCGCCGCAUUAGCUAGUUGGUAAGGUAACGGCUUACCAAGGCAACGAUGCGAAGCCGAACUGAGAGGGUGAUCGGCCACACUGGAAGUUAGACACGGUCCAGACUCCUACGGGAGGCAGCAGUAGGGAAUCUUACGCAAUAGGCGAAAGCCUGACGGAGCAACGCCGCGUGAGUGAUGAAGGUCUUCGGAUCGUAAAACUCUGUUAUUAGGGAAGAACAAAUGUGUAAGUAACUAUGCACGUCUUGACGGUAACUAAUAAGAAAGCCACGGCUAACUACGUG